CCCAAGGGAGGAGAGAGUGGCUCAAGGCACACAGCCCUCCUGUGCUGCAGCAGGACAGUGAAGAGGGCAGUUCAGGCCAGCAAGGGCUACAAGGAACAGUGACAGCCCAUCCUUUCAGGAGUUUGAAGUAGUAGGUUGUGGAAAAUUAAUGAUGCCUCACUGUCAAAACUUGUGUUGAUCAAACAGCUCUGCAGAGAGCAGAGAGGCUGAAAACCCCCUGUGAGAACACAUCCCACUUGUGCUGCACAGGACCCAGAAACAGGAGAUCACAGAGCUUCAUAGCAGUGCAGGGAGCUGAUACCUGGUGUUAACAAGAGGCCCAGGAUGGAAACAAAGGAGAUCAGAAUCCUGUCCAAAUUCUGCAAAAUCUAACAGAACAACAGUUGCCAAAUGACAAAACCUAUCAGAAGACACAGAGUAAAAAGGCACAUCUUUGUUUCUGAUCCUCACAGCGCCAGUACUGGUAAAUGCUGGUAGAAUCUGAGCACAGCCUAUAAUGAUCCAGAUUCUGGAUGUGAGGAACAUUACUCUGAUUCACUAUCCACUGGAGUACAAGCUGGUCUUUUGGGGAAGAAGAUUCCAAACAGAAUUGUUUGUGCAGAAUUGGACUGAACUGCUGUCCAAGACAUGGCUGUUAAUUGGAGUAUUCCUGGUGCUUCAGUAUUACAAAAAAAAUUACACUAAAAUAAUUAAUUGAUGUCAUUAAACUGCUGUAGCACUGAACACGUAUUGCACUCAAACAUACUGAACGUUGACAAUUUAUUAUUUCAGCUUUUAUGACAACACCUCUGUGGAAAUAUUUCUGCAAAAUCUGUAAGAUAUAGGAAGGGGAAGUCUGCACACUAUAAAGUGCCACAGAACUGAAGACUUGUCAAAA